UCAUGGCUCAGAACGUACGCUGGCGGCACGCCUAACACAUGCAAGUCGAACGCAGUAGCAAUACUGAGUGGCAAAAGGGUGAGUAUAAUGUGGGAAUCUGCCUUUUGGUUCGGAAUAACACGAGGAAACUUGUGCUAAUACCGGAUAAGCCCUUACGGGGAAAGUUUUAAUGCCAAAAGAUGAGCCCGCACUUGAUUAGCUAGUUGGUAAGGUAAUGGCUUACCAAGGCAACGAUCAAUAGCUGUUCUUAGAGGAAGACCAGCCACAUUGGGACUGAGACACGGCCCAAACUCCUACGGGAGGCAGCAGUGGGGAAUCUUGCACAAUGGGGGAAACCCUGAUGCAGCGAUGCCGCGUGAGUGAAGAAGGCCCUUGGGUUGUAAAACUCUUUCGUCGGGGAAGAAAAUGACUGUACCCGAAUAAGAAGGUCCGGCUAACUUCGUGCCAGCAGCCGCGGUAAUACGAAGGGACCUAGCGUAGUUCGGAAUUACUGGGCUUAAAGAGUUCGUAGGUGGUUGAAAAAGUUAGUGGUGAAAUCCCAGAGCUUAACUCUGGAACUGCCAUUAAAACUUUUCAGCUAGAGUAUGAUAGAGGAAAGCAGAAUUUCUAGUGUAGAGGUGAAAUUCGUAGAUAUUAGAAAGAAUACCAAUUGCGAAGGCAGCUUUCUGGAUCAUUACUGACACUGAGGAACGAAAGCAUGGGUAGCGAAGAGGAUUAGAUACCCUCGUAGUCCAUGCCGUAAACGAUGUGUGUUAGACGUUGGAAAUUUAUUUUCAGUGUCGCAGCGAAAGCGAUAAACACACCGCCUGGGGAGUACGACCGCAAGGUUAAAACUCAAAUGAAUUGACGGGGACCCGCACAAGUAGUGGAGCAUGUGGUUUAAUUCGAAGAUACGCGCAGAACCUUACCAACACUUGACAUGUUCGUCGCGACUCUAAGAGAUUAGAGUUUUCGGUUCGGCCGGACGAAACACAGGUGCUGCAUGGCUGUCGUCAGCUCGUGUCGUGAGAUGUUGGGUUAAGUCCCGCAACGAGCGCAACCCUCACUUUUAGUUGCCAUCAUUAAGUUGGGCACUCUGAAAGAACUGCCAGUGAUAAGCUGGAGGAAGGUGGGGAUGACGUCAAGUCCUCAUGGCCCUUAUGGCCAGGGCUUCACACGUAAUACAAUGGACGGUACAGAGGGAUGCCAACCCGCGAGGGGGAGCCAAUCCCAGAAAGCCGUUCGUAGUCCGGAUUGUUGUCUGCAACUCGACAAUAUGAAGUCGGAAUCGCUAGUAAUCGCGGAUCAGAAUGUCGCGGUGAAUACGUUCCCGGGCCUUGUACACACCGCCCGUCACACCAUGGGAGUGGGUUUUACCAGAAGUAGUUAGUCUGACCGCAAGGGGGACGAUUACCACGGUAGGAUUCAUGACUGGGGUGAAGUCAUAACAAGGUAGCCGUA
rnacentral:rRNA from 1 species